GCGAAGCUCGGAAUGCGCGUCCGGUCUGAUGCUGCCCUGCAAGGGGAUGUGCUCGUCCGGAUGCGUGUCCCUUCUCUAUUCCACCCCUUUGUGAACCAAGUGUGCGAGCCGAAGAGAGAUCGGAGGCUCGCAUGCAAACCCUUAACAUACCCCAACGAAGUAUCAGAAUGUACCUUGCGUUAACUCGCACAAAUA
rnacentral:misc_RNA from 1 species